AGUUGUUUGAUGUUAGAUUCUAGUUUUAUUGCUUGUUUUUUCUUCUCUUAGUUACGAUUUUUUUUUCUUUUGUGUUGUUGGCUUUGUAUUUCUUUUGCUUUUCUUUUUGGGUUUAAGUCUCCGAAGAUAUCAUGUUAUCCGUCGACUUAGUUCUCAGUAUCGUUUAGUGCUUAAGUCUCAAGGGUCAUUUUUUUUUUCUUUUUUCUCGGAAUCAUUUCUUUGACCGCUAUUA
rnacentral:lncRNA from 1 species